UACGGAGGUGGCAAGCGUUGCUCGGAAUCACUGGGCGUAAAGGGCGCGUAGGCGGGGAGGUAAGUCGGGUGUGAAAUCCCUCGGCCCAACUGAGGAACUGCGCCCGAGACUGCUUCUCUUGAGUCCCGGAGAGGAAGAUGGAAUUCCCGGUGUAGCGGUGAAAUGCGUAGAUAUCGGAAGGAACACCUGUGGCGAAAGCGGCUCACUGGACCAUAACUGACGCUGAGGCGCGAAAGCUAGGGGAGCAAACAGG
rnacentral:rRNA from 1 species